rnacentral:rRNA from 1 species
AGGGUUUGAUCCUGGCUCAGAGUGAACGCUGGCGGCGUGGAUUAGGCAUGCAAGUCGAGCGAUCUAUGUUGCUGAAGGAAACUGAAGCUUCGGUGGAUGUUUCUUGAUGUAACGCGGAUAGCGGCAAACGGGUGAUUAACACGUGGGUAACGUACCUUGAGGAGGAGGAUAGCUUCGCGAAAGCGGAAGUAAUACUCCAUGCGCCUUUAGAUUUGGAAUAAUCUUUAGGGAAAGAUGGCCUCUACUUGUAAGCUAUCACCUUAAGAGCGGCCCGCGGCCUAUCAGGUAGUUGGCAGGGUAAUGGCCUACCAAGCCUACGACGGGUAGCUGGUCUAAGAGGAUGGUCAGCCACAUCGGGACUGAGACACUGCCCGGACUCCUACGGGAGGCUGCAGUCGAGAAUCUUUCUCAAUGGGCGAAAGCCUGAAGAUGCGACGUCGCGUGGGGGAUGAAGGUCUUCGGAUUGUAAACCCCUUUUAUCUUGGAGGAAAGCUGACCGGUGAAUAAUCGGUUAGUCUGACUGUACUGGAUGAAUAAGCCACGGCUAACUCCGUGCCAGCAGCCGCGGUAAUACGGAGGUGGCAAGCGUUACUCGGAAUGACUGGGUGUAAAGGGUCUGUAGGCGGUUAAAUAAGUGAAAGGUGAAAUCCACUGGCUCAACCAUUGAAUUGCCUUUCAAACUAUUUAACUUGAGGCUGGGAGAGGAAAGCAGAACUGCUAGUGUAAAGGUGAAAUUUGUGGAUAUUAGCAGGAAUGCCUGUGGAGAAGUCGGCUUUCUGGUCCAGACCUGACGCUGAGAGACGAAAGCUAGGGAAGCAAACAGGAUUAGAUACCCUGGUAGUCCUAGCUGUAAACGAUGGGCACUAGGUGUUUGUCCGCAAGGAUGGGCGCCGUAGUUAACAUGUUAAGUGCCCCACCUGGGGACUACGGCCGCAAGGCUAAAACUCAAAGGAAUUGACGGGGGCCCGCACAAGCGGUGGAACACGUGGUUUAAUUCGAUGCUACGCGAGGAACCUUACCAGGGUUUGACAUGCUAGAAGUAGUAUCCCGAAAGGGAGUCCGACCGGUAACCAAUCCGGUACUAGCACAGGUGCUGCAUGGUUGUCGUCAGCUCGUGCCGUGAGGUGUUUACUUAAGUGUAAGAACGAGCGCAACCCUCGCUCUUAGUUGCUAUUCUUGGGUUUACUCAAGAAGCACUCUAAGAGGACUGCCCGCGUUAAGUGGGAGGAAGGCGAGGACGACGUCAAAUCCGCAUGGCCCUUAUGUCCUGGGCUACACACGUGUUACAAUGCCUGCGACAAUGGGACGCUAAUCCGCAAGGUAGAGCAAAUCCCUUAAAUGCAGGCUCAGUUCGGAUUGAGGGCUGAAAUUCGUCCUCAUGAAGCUGGAAUCGCUAGUAAUGGCGCAUCAGCUACGGCGCCGUGAAUACGUUCCCGGGCCUUGUACACACCGCCCGUCAAGCGCUGAAAGUGGGGGGUGCCCGAAAGCCUGUUUUGCAGGUUCACGGCAAAUUUCAUGAUUGGCGCUAAGUCGAAACAAGGUA